CGAAACCUUAACGCCUCUGUUUUCUCUCACAAUUGCCUCUUAUCCAUAAAAUCACAAAGCAAUCCCAAAUCAGAUAACCAAAAAUCUUGACCUUAAAACUUGAAUUAAAGCCUAACAUAACAGGAUACUAGCAUUUCAACUGCAGCGGCCAAAAUUCAUCAAAAAAUACCUGUAAAAGUGGCAGAGAAAGAAGGGCCCCAAAAUCAAGGGACGAGAAGAGACUCGGCCCUUCCCCUUGAUGGCAAAUCUUGGAUGAUCUCUCCCUCUCCUCUCCCUCAGUGUAGAAGGCCUCUUCGAUUGGGGGAAGAGCCCUUUCUCUCUCUAACUGAUACGUCGUUCUCUCUUUCUCUCUCUUGCCCAGAACCCAGCCUGCAAAACAGGAUUGAAACCCUAAACCGGCUCUUUCUCUCUCUUACCUGUUACUUCCUUCGUCCCUUGUAUCUCAACCUGUCAAUGGCUAUUAAGCUCCUUGAGAACAAAUCUGUGAUGAAAUAGGGUUGACAUACAAGGAAAUAACAACCUACAAUGAAGAUACAGAGAGACAAUCAACUGGGUAGUGAGAGAGAGAGAGAGUCGAACCAAAAGAGAACCGACUGGGUUUUGAGAAAAAAGAGUAAUCCUCUCUCUCUCUCUCUCUUGAUGCUCUCUUUCUUCAGAGGAUAAUGACGCUAAUCUCUCUCUCUAAAAAGCGCCAUCGCAGGAAAACCAGAGCCCUCUCCUCUCCCAUUUGUUCAAGCCCUGAACACUGCCUGUCUGCACCUGCUUUCCUCUUCACAAAUCUCCUCCUGCUGCCUGCCUCUCAAACCUAAAAAUAGAUUUUUAAGAAGUCAAACCGAUCUUCCCCACCAUCCAAACCCUUACAAAAGAAAAAAAAAAACAUCCCACUGAUUCCCUCUCGCCAUGCUCCUCGCGUGCAAAGCCAAAAACUCAAAACAAAAAAUAAUUUCAUUCUCUACCCCGGUGAACCCUCCUAAACCUUGUCCGAGAGAAACCCAAAAAAGGGAAACAUCCGAAACCUUCCUCAACCUUGUCCGAGAGAAACCCGAGAACGACCUCCAACACCAUGAAGUCUUCACAAAUGUGAGGCCUCCUUGAUAGGAACAGGAAGAGUUUCAGGGAGCUCGUGGGACCUCAUUUUAUUGAGGAAAUACUGGUAUUUAUUUUGUCCCUCUCCCCAUGCUCCUCGCGUGCAAAGCCCAAUACUCAAACCAGAGAAUAAAACUCUCCCUCAAACUCUCUCUCUAUAUACUUACCAACGAGCUAAAACAAACUUUUUUUUUCUUCUCUCUCUCUAUACUUACCCGAAAGGCAAAACAAACUCUCUCAUCUCGGUAUUCUCUCUCUCUCUCUCUCUCUUUGCCUUAAUUUUGUACUGAGACUGGUUGUUUUUUAGCUUAUUUGAAUGCCUAUUUAUUGUCUUGUAUAUUGAAAUUGCUUUGUUUUGUAUGAUUGUUGGAGUUUUUUUUUUUUUGGGUUUGUUCUAUGAAUUUUGAUAUGCUCUGUGAUUUUUUUUAAUAUUCUUCGUUUAUUUUGUCUUAAUUUUAUACUGGGAUUUGUAGUUAUUGAGCUUAUUCGAAUGCCUAUUUAUUGUCUGGCAUGUUGAACUUUCACCAUUUUGUAUGCUUGUUGGAGUUCUUAUUUUUUUUUUGGGUUUGUUCUAUAAAUUUUCAUAUGCUCUGUGAUUUUUUUUAAGAUUCUUCAUUUUUUUUUUAUCUUAAUUUUAUACUGGGAUUUGUAGUUUUUGAGCUUUUCGAAUGCCUAUUUAUUGUCUUGCAUGUUUUAAUUGCACUAUUUUGUAUGAUUGUUGGAGGUUUUUUUUUUUUGGCUUUGUUCUAUGAAUUUUCAUAUGCUCUGUGAUUUUUUCUAAGAUUCUUCAUUUUUUUUUCUUAAUUUUAUAAUGGGAUUUGUAGUUAUUGAGCUUAUUCGAAUGCCUAAUUAUCGUCUUGCAGGUUGAAAUUGCACCAUUUUGUGUGAUUGUUGGAGUUUUAUUUUUUUUGGCUUUGUUCUAUAAAUUUUCAUAUGCUCUGUGAUUUUUCUAAGAUUCUUCAUUUUUUUUUGUCUUAAUUUUAUACUGGGAUUUAUAGUUUUUGAGCUUAUUCGAAUGCUUAUUUAUUGUCUGGCAUGCUGAGAUUGCACUAUUUUGUGUAAUUGUUGAAGUUUUAUUUAGUUUUGGCUUUGUUCUAUUUAUGGGACACCCUAACUUUUUUCUUCCCUUUAAAUAGUAAUAGAAUAGCAUAUGCAACCUACUGAUGCAAAGACCCAAAAACAAUCACCACAGCCUCAUGAACAAUACAAUUUGAGCUUGAGUUUGACUUGAGCUUCAACCAUAAAGGUUUAGCACAAGCCAAGCCUACCAAGCAUAGGNNN
rnacentral:lncRNA from 1 species